rnacentral:lncRNA from 1 species
UUCUACUUUAAUGUGGCAAAUCAUUGAAACACCACAUGGCCAAAACUUUACUCUAUGCAUGACAACUCAUUGUAAUUGAUAAUGACCCUCGCAAACACUUGGCUACCAUGCGUGUAAUUCUAAGGCCAAGUGCUAAUUUGGUUUACUGAUGAAGAUGCUGAGCACAAGCUUCUGAAAAUGCAGAAUUACGAAUUUUUCGAAAGACUGCGAACCUUUAUGGAGAAAGACAACUAGGCCACUGGAAAACAUGUCGGUGGGAAAAUAAUUCUGAUGAUCGUUCAGCUCGUCCUUUGCUUCAUAAUUACUUUCUUCUUUCUUAAUUUCUCUCAUGGGUCUCGGUUUCUUCCUGAAGCUUGUUGAUGAUGAGUUGCAUAUGCCGAUAAUUCCUCACCAGAAAAUAAGAUGAAAAGGUAACUUUCUUAAUUUUUAAAAUGCUGAAUUUCAAUUUAAGGUACUAUUCAUUUUGUCUCUUUCAAGUUAUUUUUCAUUUUUCUGCUGAUAUUUUAAUAUUUACAGUCAAUUGUAGCAUUACUUAAAUUUAUAGUAUGUAGAUCAUAAUUCAUAAAUUAGUUUGCAGUUGGAGUAAACUCGAAAAUGUUAAAAAAAUAAUAAUAACAACAAAAAGAGUAGAGACAAGUUGUCAUCUUGAGUAACAAUAAAAUAAAGAAUUGCAGCUUUUACAAAGUCUUUCUUUAAAAAUAUGAAAUGAAUAAAAUGACUAUUAAAAUGGUUCAAAAUUUUCUGAUAGUGUCAUUGACUAGCUAGAUCAAUUGUUUCUUGUGUGGUAACUUCAAACACCAAAUCCUUGAAAGCAAGUAUAUUAGUUUUGUAUGGUGUUGCCCAGCCUUCUGCACAUGGUUCAUGAUAUUUGAUCCAACUAUUCGCAAUAGGAGGAAUAGGUGAAGCUGGAAGCAUGAACACCUGUAAAAAAAAAAAAAAAGCCAUAGAAAAAUUAGUCCAAUAAUUAAGAUAUUGCAGCAUAAUUUGAAUUUCUAAACUUUUACAUACCUCUAUGAAAUGAUUUCUAUUAACAAAUCCAAUAGCAAUGAUUUUAUGCGAGGAGCGUGAUAAUGGAAUAGAUCUAAGUGGAAGGAAUGUGACAAUCAGCACAUCUGAUAUAUGUAGUAAUACCACAUUAUAUUUAGAAGCAAUAAUAUGACCAAUUUCAGGCAUGGUCAUCCAAUACUCUCUUCCUGGGUUAUUCUCAAAGUAUAAAAGUGAAUGAAGCACCUCCUCUGCUCUACCAGCAUAUUCAAAGACUCUUUUAUAAUCAUUAAAGUGACUUUGCAACUCAACAACUAAGACUUUCCUGACUUGUGCCCAGUUAUCUUCACCAAUACCUAUUAGGUCAGCCACUGCCUGAAAACCACAAUUACCAUCUGCAACAACAUCUCUAACACCACAAAUAUAAGGCCUCAAACCAAAUGGAAAUGAAUCAAUAUAAGAAGCAUGCUUUGGUGCUUUUGUUUGAGAAACACUCAUUUUUCGUUGCCCUUUUGGUUUUUUUGUAGUUGUACUUGAAGACAUAAUGUCUGGAGAAUGAUUAUCCUGUGCGGAUACUACAUACUCAAAUCUUGAUGGAUCUCGGCGGGUAGAUUUAUCAAGCUUUUGGGAGGGUCGUCCUCGAGUCUUAGCUUUAACAGGUAGCUCAAUUAAAAAAGUUAAGAAUGGAUCAGCUAAUUCUUUCAGUUUUCUUUUUAUUUGCAUUUUUCCGAAACCAUCUGAAUCUUCAAAACGCUUGAUAAUCAUUUCCAUUUCAGGGGUACAACUCAACUCUGCUGAUUUUUCAUAGCUGGUGCAGACAAG